AACAAACGCUGGCGGCGUGCCUAACACAUGCAAGUCGUACGAGAAAGGGUCCUUCGGGGCCUGAGUAAAGUGGCGCACGGGUGAGUAACGCGUGGAUAAUCUGCCCUUCAAUUGGGAAUAACUCAUCGAAAGGUGGGCUAAUACCGAAUAAUGCUGUGAGACCUCGGUUGAUCAGCCAAAGAGAGCCUCUGCUUGCAAGCCCUCGCGGAAGGAUGCGGCCGCGUACCAUUAGCUAGUUGGUAGGGUAAUGGCCUACCAAGGCGACGAUGGUUAGCUGGUCUGGGAGGAUGAUCAGCCACACUGGAACUGAGACACGGUCCAGACUCCUACGGGAGGCAGCAGUGAGGAAUCUUGCGCAAUGGGGGCAACCCUGACGCAGCAACGCCGCGUGAGUGAGGAAGGUCUUCGGAUCGUAAAGCUCUGUCGGAUGGAAAGAACCGCAUAGGGGUAAACAGCCCCUGUGUCUGACGGUACCAUCAAAGGAAGCACCGGCUAACUCCGUGCCAGCCGCCGCGGUAAUAC
rnacentral:rRNA from 1 species